GGUCCGAUGCCACGUUGCCGGUAGCCACCGAAAGCAUUGACCGGCAAUGCUAUGAUUGGACCAAAAUCAAUGGGUUCGUUUGGUUUGCAUUUCGGAAAAAAUUUUGGGAAAUUUUCUCUACAAAUAAGUUUUUAAAAGUAAUCAAACCAAACAAAUUU